GUCAGUGUGGUGUAGUGGUUUAAAUACUGAACUAUAACUUUGGAGUCCAGGGUCUGAAUCCCUGUUUGGCCA